UGGGAAUUCCUGCUCUGCUGUAGACAGCAA
rnacentral:piRNA from 1 species